rnacentral:lncRNA from 1 species
CACUUGUCAUCCUGACAACACAGCGAGUUUCAAACCGGGCUGGCUCCCGACGUUUGCCUGAAGGCCCUGACUUGGAGUGCUCUGUGCUCCAGGGCUGCUGCUCCUUGGUGUGGAGCUCCAAACCCCCAACCCUUUUACUCCAGAACUUCCAACGUGCACUUCCCACCUCCCUCAAACGUCUUUCAGCUCUCCCUGCUGCAGCAGGACCUGCUCCAUCUCUCCUGUCCAGGAAUGGACGUCCCCAGUGUUCUCCCACCAGGUGAGACCCUGUGUGCUGGAUGAGGAAGCACGGGGCAGGUGGUGAAGGAAGGGCAAUGAGGCUGGAGCACAUCAUGAUUCCCACCAGGACCAUCAGGCCUGGGGCGUGUGGAGGACACCACAGGCCCGUGGGGCUGAGGCAGUGGCCUUGAGAGGUAAGAGCCAGGUGUGUGGAUCUCAUGGCAGCCCUGAGCUGUGACAGUGCCAAAGCAAACCCUGUGAGGGUGCUGUGUGGUGCCUGGGCCAGGGGAGGCUGAGCCUUUUCAUCCGGCUGCCGCAGUCAGGCUGCAGGGUCAUAUUUGGAAGGCUUUCUCAGCAGUGCACACAUGUUAAUGAUGUUUGAGGAGUAGUUUCUGUGGGAGACCUGGGAGCCAGGCAGCUCUGCAAAUCAGCCCAUUAGUAUUUUUAAA